CACCGAGAAUUCCUCUCUCUCCCUCCCGGUUUCACCUCUGGUCUCUCUCUCUUCCCCAAACGCGCAACAGCGCUAGGGAUUUGCCGUCCCACCAAAUAGCGAUUCAGAUCAUGGAGGGCGGCGUAGGAACUGUCGAAUCCUGCCACCCACAGAAUCCUUCUUCCUCUCCUUCCCUUCUCUAUACCCAACAAGGCGAUUGGGCGGACCGGCGACAGGCGGGGCAACGGAAAAGGGUGGGCGAUGCCGUGACGAGAUGAGGGAAUGAGGCGGAGAAACCGAGCGGACGAGCAACCGGACAGGCACAGGUACAUCCACACAGGUGAUCGAUUAAUGGAUCGAUCGGUUUUUUUAACAGGCGCACGUACAUGGAAAAGGGAUCGAUUAAUCGAUCGAACCGAUAGCUGCUAGGCAGGCGUGUAUGCACGGUGUGCUGGCCGGUGUCCAGAUCCAUUAAUUACGGGCGCCCAGCCAAAAAAUCUGUACUAUGUAUAAGCACGAAAUUUACCUGGUGCGUCCGCCCCUGUGUCUACUAAGUACAGACGGUGUACUGUUUUGUCCUAGCUUGUUCUGUUUUUUUUCAACCAUUUUUUGUUGUGUAUUCCUUGUUAGUAAAUGCCUCAAUCUUUAUCAUCUGGGGCUAGGCACCAUGUAUUUGGUAGUACAAUGAGUUCAUGUGAAAUCCUCCAAAAUUUUGUUAUCUCGAUUUCUUCUCCAGUUCGGUGGGAGCAGAGUAGGCAAUCAUGGAGGUGGCAGACGCAAUGACUUAGCACAACGGAUGGUUGGCCCCAAGUUUCUACAACUGAGUUCGAGUUUUCUGUGUGUGGGUAAUAAGUACAGUACUUGUACUGUUUUAUCCUUGUACUGUUCUCUUCACCCAUUGUUUGUUGUAUACCCAAUCUUUAUUAACUAGGCAGCACGUAUUUCAUACACAACCUGUUGAUAUGAAUUAUGUCCAAUAUUUUGUUAUCUAUGUAGUCAAAACAACUUCAGUCCGCUUACUAAAAUUCUUCUGUUUUUGUUGCUGCAAUGACGAAAAAACUGUUGUGCCAAUGGAGAACUUGGAUCAAUUGAUAAUAUACCAAUCUUGGGCACUAGACAUCUAUUUCAUAUCAAUGUUUGCUACUGACAUAUGGUAGUUGUAUUAGUUAAUGUUUCUUGCUCCAUGUUGUUUCUUCUUCUAAAAAAUCAAGAGUAAUCUAUCAUAUCAUUCACAAUCUUGCAAAUGUCAUUUUUUCACAAAAGCUAUUUUCUGUGUUUCAGUGCCGGUUAUUUUUUUUAUCCAUUUAUGUAUUUCUAAUACCAAGGAAGAGGUUUUCUACAGAAGCUAUUUUCUGUCUUUCAGUGCGCAAAUUUGAAGAAUAUACAUGCAUUUGUAUGUCAAGAUAUGUUGAUUGUUGCAACCAGAAACCAUUUACUACUUUGCUAACCCAUUUCUCACUCCCAAGUAUUUUUUUUAUUUCAGCUCGAGCUUCCUUCUGUAACUCCUACAUUGGUGUUUAAAGACUUGGCGGUAAACCGAGUGCAAUUAGGCAACAGCAGUGCCAAGGUUCAGUUCAGCAAGGAGACCAAGUGCCCCUACAUUGUCCAUUCCUACAACACCCUGGCCUGUCAAACGAGAAGACUCGAUGCAGCCAGCUACGACUAUGGCCCACUUGACAACCAAGCCAAACAACACGCAAAACAAGCCAAGAACAUGCAGAUGAAGUAAGCACUAAGUUGGUGACUUGGUGUAAGAGUAUGGACUUGAACACGAUGAAUGAUGUACUCGCCGGA